GACGAACGCUGGCGGCGUGCCUAACACAUGCAAGUCGAACGGGGCCCGCAAGGGUUCAGUGGCGAACGGGUGCGUAACACGUGAAGAAUUUGUCCAACGGCGGGGGAUAGCCGGCCCAACGGCCGGGUAAGUACCGCGUACGACCCUCGGGGGCGAUCCCUCGAAGGUAGAAAGACCGCAAGGCGCCGAUGGAGAACUUCGCGGCCUAUCAGCUAGUUGGUGAGGUCAUGGCUCACCAAAGGCGACGACGGGUAGCUGGUCCGAGAGGA
rnacentral:rRNA from 1 species